AGUCCUGUAGCUCAAUGGUGGAGCGAGUUCCUUACAAGAACCGGGUUGCGGGUUCAAAUCCUGCCAGGACUACCA
rnacentral:tRNA from 2 species